UACUAGAGUAGCACUCGCAUAUCAAUAAGCGGAGGAAAAGAAACUAACAAGGAUUCCCCUAGUAACGGCGAGUGAAGCGGGAAGAGCUCAAAUUUGAAAUCUUAAAGGGUUUCCCUUUACGAAUUGUAGUUUAAAGAAGUGUUUUCUGUUGAGGUUUUGGUAAAAGUUCUUUGGAAUAGGACAUCAUAGAGGGUGAGAAUCCCGUAUUUGACCUUUACUUUCAACUUUGUGAUACACUUUCAAAGAGUCGGAUUGUUUGGGAAUGCAGUCCAAAAUGGGUGGUAAAUUUCAUCUAAAGCUAAAUAUUGGCGAGAGACCGAUAGCGAACAAGUACCGUGAGGGAAAGAUGAAAAGAACUUUGAAAAGAGAGUUAAACAGUACGUGAAAUUGUCAAAAGGGAAGCGUUUGACACCAGUGUUGUUUUUCUGAAAAUCAAUUAAAGAACUGUUUAUGCUAAGCUGUUUAGACUUUAUCAGCUAACUGUUUAGUUUUGAGCUUUUCUUUAAUGCACUUUUCAGUUAACAAGUCAACAUCAAUUUCUUUUGCUGUAAAAAAGCUUGAGGAAGGUGGCUUGAGAUUCGUCUUAAGUGUUUAUAGCCUCUUGCCUAUGCAGUCGGAGAGAUUGAGGUCUGCAGCGUAGAUCCUUCGGGGCUAAAUGCAUUUGUGCUAAGUUAUAGCAUUUUAUAGACAACUUGUUGACUAUGAUUUGUCUUGUAGCUUACUCGCUUAUGUUAUUUUACCUACGCUUAGGAUGUUGAUCUACAGAGCGAGAGU
rnacentral:rRNA from 1 species